rnacentral:lncRNA from 1 species
UUCGUAGUUAAAUGGGUAAUUAGAAUAAUUUUGGUUGUUGAAAUGGUUAUUAUUGGGAUCCAUUUCACUAAAAAUAAGAUUAAAACUUCAAUUAGUUUGCUAAUAGAAAGAUAAUAAUAAGAAGAAGAUAGUGAAAAACUUGGUUUUUUUUUCUGUGUCCAAAUCAAAUGAACCAAGUCUCUAUUUAUAGAGAAAAAAAAAUCAUGAAUUUUGGUAUAAUUUUUUUUUUUUUUAAAUUAAUUUACAACGAAAUAAUUGAGGUUAAAUUAUGAAAAUGAUAAGAAUCCGGACAGCCAAUUAAAACGUGCCACGUGUCAUUAUCUAUCCAAAAAAUCUUUCUCUCUCCGCACGUCUGACGCGUCACGCGCCUUGUCUGCGCGUGUAACGCACGCGCCAGUUUUCAACAAAUCUCGCGUCGCCACGUGUCCGGCCGGGCAGAGUUAAAUUGUGUUUAAUGGAUUCACCUUCUCUCUUCUCUUCCCUCAUUCAACACACUUUAAACACACCAUUGCAAAGGAAAUUGGUGUUGAAUGCUUCAUUAAACACACCAUUGCAUAUGGUCUUAGU